GGGGGAAUAGCUCAGCUGGGAGAGCAGUAGACUGAAGUUUAUAAUUCUAAAGGUCCCCGGUUCAAUCCCGGGUUUCCCCA